CUCCUACGGGAGGCAGCAGUGGGGGAUAUUGCACAAUGGGGGGAACCUGAUGCAGCGACGCCGCGUGAGGGAAGACGGUCUUCGGAUUGUAAACCUCUGUCUUUAGGGACGAAAAAAUGACGGUACCUAAGGAGGAAGCCACGGCUAACUACGUGCCAGCAGCCGCGGUAAUACGUAGGUGGCAAGCGUUGUCCGGAAUUACUGGGUGUAAAGGGAGCGUAGGCGGGGAGACAAGUUGAAUGUUUAAACUAUCGGCUCAACUGAUAGUCGCGUUCAAAACUAUCACUCUUGAGUGCAGUAGAGGUAGGCGGAAUUCCUAGUGUAGCGGUGAAAUGCGUAGAUAUUAGGAGGAACACCAGUGGCGAAGGCGGCCUACUGGGCUGUAACUGACGCUGAGGCUCGAAAGCGUGGGUAGCAAACAGGAUUAGAUACCCUGGUAGUCCACGCCGUAAACGAUGAUUACUAGGUGUGGGGGGACUGACCCCUUCCGUGCCGGAGUUAACACAAUAAGUAAUCCACCUGGGGAGUACGACCGCAAGGUUGAAACUCAAAGGAAUUGACGGGGGCCCGCACAAGCAGUGGAGUAUGUGGUUUAAUUCGAAGCAACGCGAAGAACCUUACCAGGUCUUGACAUCGAGUGACGAACUUAGAGAUAAGUUUUUCCUUCGGGACACGAAGACAGGUGGUGCAUGGUUGUCGUCAGCUCGUGUCGUGAGAUGUUGGGUUAAGUCCCGCAACGAGCGCAACCCUUAUCAUUAGUUGCUACGCAAGAGCACUCUAAUGAGACUGCCGUUGAUAAAACGGAGGAAGGUGGGGAUGACGUCAAAUCAUCAUGCCCCUUAUGACCUGGGCUACACACGUACUACAAUGGUGAUCAAACAGAGGGAAGCAACACAGCGAUGUGAAGCAGAACCCGAAAAAUCAUCUCAGUUCAGAUUGCAGGCUGCAACUCGCCUGCAUGAAGUCGGAAUUGCUAGUAAUCGCGGAUCAGCAUGCCGCGGUGAAUACGUUCCCGGGCCUUGUACACACCGC
rnacentral:rRNA from 1 species